AGAGUUUGAUCAUGGCUCAGGAUGAACGCUAGCGAUAGGCCUAACACAUGCAAGUCGAGGGGCAGCACAUGAAGUAGCAAUACGAAUGGUGGCGACCGGCGCACGGGUGAGUAACGCGUAUGCAACCUGCCUACAACAGGGGAAUAACCCGUUGAAAGACGGACUAAUACCCCAUAACACAGGGAUCCCGCAUGGGAAUAUUUGUUAAAGAUUUAUCGGUUGUAGAUGGGCAUGCGUUCCAUUAGCUUGUUGGUGAGGUAACGGCUCACCAAGGCAACGAUGGAUAGGGGAACUGAGAGGUUUAUCCCCCACACUGGUACUGAGACACGGACCAGACUCCUACGGGAGGCAGCAGUGAGGAAUAUUGGUCAAUGGACGCAAGUCUGAACCAGCCACGUCGCGUGAAGGAAGACGGCCCUACGGGUUGUAAACUUCUUUUGUAAGGGAAUAAAGUGUAGUACGUGUACUAUUUUGCAUGUACCUUACGAAUAAGGAUCGGCUAACUCCGUGCCAGCAGCCGCGGUAAUACGGAGGAUCCGAGCGUUAUCCGGAUUUAUUGGGUUUAAAGGGUGCGCAGGCGGGAGAUUAAGUCGGCGGUGAAAUUUUGCAGCUCAACUGUAAAAGUGCCUUCGAAACUGGUUUCCUUGAGUGUGGAUGAAGUAGGCGGAAUUUGUGGUGUAGCGGUGAAAUGCAUAGAUAUCACGAGGAACUCCGAUUGCGCAGGCAGCUUACUAAACCAUAACUGACGCUCAGGCACGAAGGCGUGGGGAUCAAACAGGAUUAGAUACCCUGGUAGUC
rnacentral:rRNA from 1 species